rnacentral:rRNA from 1 species
UACAGAGGGUGCGAGCGUUAAUCGGAAUUACUGGGCGUAAAGCGCGCGUAGGCGGCUUUGCAAGUCGGGUGUGAAAUCCCCAGGCUUAACCUGGGAACUGCAUUCGAGACUGCAUUGCUAGAGUAUGGGAGAGGAAAGCGGAAUUUCUGGUGUAGCAGUGAAAUGCGUAGAUAUCAGAAGGAACAUCAGUGGCCGAAGGCGGCUUUCUUGG